AGUGAACGCUGGCGGUAGGCCUAACACAUGCAAGUCGAACGGCAGCACAGUAAGAGCUUGCUCUUACGGGUGGCGAGUGGCGGACGGGUGAGGAAUACAUCGGAAUCUACUUUUUCGUGGGGGAUAACGUAGGGAAACUUACGCUAAUACCGCAUACGACCUACGGGUGAAAGCAGGGGAUCUUCGGACCUUGCGCGAUUGAAUGAGCCGAUGUCGGAUUAGCUAGUUGGCGGGGUAAAGGCCCACCAAGGCGACGAUCCGUAGCUGGUCUGAGAGGAUGAUCAGCCACACUGGAACUGAGACACGGUACAGACUCCUACGGGAGGAAGCAGUGGGGAAUAUUGGACAAUGGGCGCAAGCCUGAUCCAGCCAUACCGCGUGGGGGAAGAAGGCCUUCGGGUUGUAAAGCCCUUUUGUUGGGAAAGAAAAGCAGCAGGUUAAUACCCCGCUGUUCUGACGGUACCCAAAGAAUAAGCACCGGCUAACUUCGUG
rnacentral:rRNA from 1 species